UAUCUCACUAGCACUUCAGUGGGUAGAGGAAAUACAGCCAAUGCGAGUGGUCAUUUGCUCUGACUCCAGUGCAGCUCUGGAGAGUAUAAACAACUUCUCUUCAGAAUGUCGUCAGGAUAUUUUACAUGAAAUUUUACACAUCAUGUUUAGGUUAGUUCAUCUGGGAAUUGUUGUUCAAUUUGUGUGGGUUCCAGCGCAUGUGUGUAUUAGAGGGAAUGAAGUAGUGGAUCAACUGGCAAAAUGUGGUUUGAAAGCAAACCAGAUUGAUAUUAUGGUACCCAUCAGUCGAUCAGAAGUCAAAUCUGUUACAAAAGUGGUUAUCAAGCAACAAUGGCAAAAACUAUGGGACAGUAACAUCAAAGGAAGACAUUUAUACCAGAUACAAAGGGAAGUAGGAACAGGAAGCACUUGGGGGAGUAGUAGAAGAGAACAGAGCAUUAACAGCAGGAUAAAAUUGGGACACUCUGGAUUAAACUCAUCACUGCAUCUGAUUGGAAAACAUCCAAAUGGCAAUUGUGAUGGUUGCCAACAACCAGAGACAAUACAUCAUGUAUUUUUUAGCUGCCCGGAAUAUACAAGGCAAAGACUCAUUCUGAAAACGGCACUGGAACAACUCAACGUCAAGGACAUGGAUUUCAAGUCAAUAUAUGAAAGUAAAUCAAGAAAUGAAGCAAACAAGCUGAUCUUCAAAUUCCUCAAAAGCACUGGUCUGAGGACAAGGAUUGAAUAUGAACAUUUAAUAACUCAACAGUAGGUGGCGAUAUAUGCUCCAAGUGGAAGCGAUUCGCCAUUAAAGAGAAGAAGAAGAAGAAGAAGAAGAAGAAGAAGAAGAAGAAGAAGAAGAAGAAGAAGAAGAAGAAGAAGAAGAAGAAGAAGAAGAAGAAGAAGAAGAAGAAGAAGAAGAAGAAGAAGAAGAAGAAGAAGAAGAAGAAGAAGGUCCUCGGAAGGUAUACGUUGCUAACAGACCUUGGUGCAGAUUUUAUACCGAAUGUAAUGUGUUUAAGAGACUUUUAAAACACAUACAAAUACUUAGUUUAUCCUUGUAGAGUGAUUUAUCCGUGCAUUUAUCCGUUAAACCGUUUUUGUUGCCUCGCGUUCUUUGUUUUUAGCUUUUUAUACCACGUUGCUGAUCGGUAAACAUAAGUAAAGGCAUUCAAGAGAGAUUAGUGUGUUUAACGGCAGUGUUUUAUCAAGGAGAAGAAAGACUGAAGAACCAGGACGAAGAGAGAGAGACACAGCCGGAGAAGGAGCACUGAGAGCAGCAUGGAGGAGAAGAAAAAGACCCCUGGAGCUCAGAAACCGAAAGGAAGAGAGAGAGACGUCACAGCUAUCAGCAAUGUGACAAAUCCUUUGCAAGAUCUGGAAAUGUAAAGCUCCACCUGCGUAUUCAUACUGGAGAAAAACUGUACAGCUGUGAAGAGUGUGGGAAAACAUUCACGAGAUCAAGUGAUCACAAAAGACAUCACCUAUUCACACUGGAGAAAAACCAUACAGCUGUGAAGAUUGUGGGAAAACUUUCACUAGAUCAGAUCAUGUUGAAGCUGGCGGAAAGGCGGAUCUCGCGUGUUAUUUGGACACAGCCCAGAUCUUCCGACUGGUGGGACACCAUUGCUUCAGACUGUUCCCCUCUGCAAUUCAUGCAGAAUUUCCGCGUGUCCAGGGAGUACUUUGACUACAUCUGCAACCAGGUCAGCGGCGUUUAGGGGAGAAGAGACACAAAUUACCGUCUGUGUAUACCCAAUAGAAAACGGGUUGCAAUUGCCCUCUGGAAGCUAGCCACCGGAGGUGAAUACAGGACCAUCAGUCAUCUUUUCGGGGUAGGCCUAAGCACCGUUUGCCUCUGUGUUCAGGAUUUCUGCAGGGCAACCAUGGAGAUGCUGCUUCCACUACAUAUCACAUUUCCUGAUGUGGAGAAGUUGGUGGAAAUGGCCACUUUUUUCAACAACCGUUGGAGAGCACCACAGUGUGUUGGUGCAAUAGAUGGAAGCCACAUCCCUAUUUUAGCACCACAAAAUUAUCCCAAGAACUAUUAUAACAGAAAAGGAUGGCAUUCUGUUGUUCUACAGGCUGUUGUUGAUAGCAGGGGGAUGUUCUGGGAUGUGUGUGUUGGCGACCCAGGUAGUGUACAUGAUGCUAGAGUGCUAAAACAAUCCAAUCUUUGGGUGGCUAUCAGUGAUGGAGUGUUGAUAGGCCAAAACAAAAUGACCAUCUCUGGCUGUGAUGUGGGACAUUACCUGAUUGGUGACCCAGCCUAUUCAAUGCAAAGAUGGCUAAUGUGGAGAAUUGAAGAUUAUAUUCAUCUUAAUGUCACCCAUAUAUAAGAGGUGUGUUGCAUCAUGUUAUCACUAAUGUAGGUGUGGUUUUAUACAUUCCUGUGUGUUAAAUUUGAAGGGACAAAGUACAUUUAUUCCUCUUAAAUAUAGAGAGGUUUUUUAUAUAUUCCUGAAACAAUGCUCCCUUUUUCUUAAAAGUAGAUUAGCGCACUAGUCUUUUUCUUCCACCUGUGUAAUCAAAAGGGUGUUUUUUUGGCUAUCUGUGAGGAGGUAAAAUGCAGAAUUACUUGUGAUUUCUGUUUUGAGUGAAAAGAUUACCCGUUAAGUGUUUUUCAGAAAGUCUUGUUGCAGUUAGAGGCCAUGAGGUUCUUGGCUAAUCAUCAAUGGUAUUUGCAAAUUAACAAGGGAACUCCAAGGGACAUUUUCCUCAGAUUUAAUGCAGUUACAUUCUUGUAGUUAAUGAUGCAUAUCCUGCAUACCUAUAAAGAGGCCUUGAGAAUUGAGUCACACAGUUAGGGUCUGAAUUAUCAAUGAAUGUAUUCAUUGAUGCUGAACAAUGCCUGUGUUUGUAUCCUAUUGACUUUAUUCUUUCAUGUGUGAGUACUAAAAUGGCCACAACAUUGUGAAGUAGUUGGCUUCAAUGUGCUUAAAUGACUCUGUGUGAAAUAAGGAGCAGGUUUGCAUGACAGGAGACUAGAAAUGAUGGGGGAGGGGAGCAGAGAGGGAAGUUGGAAGAAUGUGUGUGUGUGAAAGCUGCAGGAAUACGAGACAGCGAACACCAGAUGUGUUUGUUUUGCUUCAAACUGAGAGACUGUUUCCGGAUCAGCUCGGCUGGCGCGCGCUGAUACGCUACGAAAGCCCAUCGUUUGUAUAUGGGCCAAUAGAUGACCUGUAUGGGAGGACCAUCCACACAGCUCCUCCCGUUGUUCUUAUAAU